GGGACAAGGGUUUCCGGAACUUUAACAGUGCCAUCCUCUUGUUGGUGAUUUUCAAGGAUAGCUAUUAUUAACCUAGGGAUGGCAGCUGCUGUGCCGUUCAGUGUGUGAACAAAACCCGAGUCUUUGUCAUUUCGAUAUCGUGUGAGUAGACGCCUAGCUUGGUAUUCAAGACAAUUAGAUGCUGAAGUUAUCUCCCCGUAUGAUUGUCGCGCUGGCAUCCACGCUUCGAUGUCAUAUUUUUGAGAGGC